CGCCACCACCACCUCCUCCUCCUCUGGCCUCCGCCUCGCGCCGCAGAUUGGAAGCAAGAGAGAGAAAGCCUUGUUUUUUUUUCUCUCUCUGGUCUUUUUUUCUCUCCUUACCUGCUGUUUUUGUAUUCUAUUGGCAAACUCCAACUGUGAUGAGAUGAGAGAGAAAGGUGAGGAGGAAGAAGAAGAAGAAGAGAGAGAGAGAGAGCAGGAGGAGGUGGU
rnacentral:lncRNA from 1 species